rnacentral:rRNA from 1 species
AAUCCAUAGGUUAAUGAGGCGAACCGGGGGAACUGAAACAUCUAAGUACCCCGAGGAAAAGAAAUCAACCGAGAUUCCCCCAGUAGCGGCGAGCGAACGGGGAGGAGCCCAGAGCCUGAAUCAGCAUGUGUGUUAGUGGAAGCGUCUGGAAAGGCGCGCGAUACAGGGUGACAGCCCCGUACACAAAAGCGCAUGUGCUGUGAGCUCGAUGAGUAGGGCGGGACACGUGGUAUCCUGUCUGAAUAUGGGGGGACCAUCCUCCAAGGCUAAAUACUCCUGACUGACCGAUAGUGAACCAGUACCGUGAGGGAAAGGCGAAAAGAACCCCGGCGAGGGGAGUGAAAAAGAACCUGAAACCGUGUACGUACAAGCAGUGGGAGCACCCUUCGGGGUGUGACUGCG